GGUAAUGUGCCGGACAAAACGGAAUGCGUUGAUGAUGCAUAACAUGAGAUACUUCUAUUCUCCAUUACCUG
rnacentral:tRNA from 1 species